rnacentral:snRNA from 1 species
UCCAACACUUCCACCUGAAAG